UACGUAGGGAGCGAGCGUUGUCCGGAUUUAUUGGGCGUAAAAAGCGCGUAGGCGGUUCGGUAAGUCGGGUGUGAAAACUCCAAGCUCAACUUGGAGCCUGCAUUCGAAACUGCUGUGACUAGAGUCAGGUAGGGGAACACGGAAUUCCAGGUGUAGCGGUGAAAUGCUUAGAUAUCUGGAGGAACACCAGUGGCGAAGGCGGUGUUCUGGGCCUGUACUGACGCUGAGGCGCGAAAGCGUGGGGAGCGAACAGG
rnacentral:rRNA from 1 species